UACGUAGGGUGCAAGCGUUGUCCGGAAUUAUUGGGCGUAAAGAGCUUGUAGGCGGUUUGUCGCGUCUGCUGUGAAAUUUCGGGGCUCAACCCCGAACUUGCAGUGGGUACGGGCAGACUAGAGUGUGGUAGGGGAGACUGGAAUUCCUGGUGUAGCGGUGAAAUGCGUAGAGAUCGUGAGGAAGACCAGUGGCGAAGGCGGAUCUCUGGACAGUUCCUGACGCUGAGGCGCGAAGGCCAGGGGAGCAAACGGG
rnacentral:rRNA from 1 species